rnacentral:lncRNA from 1 species
AGUAGAAAUAUUUGGAGAGAGAGGAAAAAAAAAAAAAAAAGGUGAAAGGGAGGUUCGAUUGGACAUAUCUAUUUUUUUAAGAGAGAUAGAUAGCAUAUUAUCCGUUUCAUUUAUUUCAUUUAAAAAUAAAUUUAGUUUGAAAUGUCAAUCAAUUAGAAUUCAAACUUGAGACUUAGGUACUAACCAAUAAGCCUUUUGCCACUUGCAUCAGAAACGGUUAGUGAUUGGAUAACUAUAAAUAUAGUAUAAAUAGAAAUGUAUGUAGUUAAAAAUAUAGUAAUUAUAUUUACAUACAUCUUAUUUAAUUCGAUAUAGUAGAAAAUGUUGCAGCUAUAAAUAUUUUAUUUGAUUAUGUACAGCUGAGUAAGUGUAUUUAUAAGUUUUUAUCAUUUUUUAUAUGAAUAGUGAGAUUAUUAUAUUUGUUUAAAAUUACUCUCAUUAAGUGCUGCAGUUGGAACUGCGACUAAUUUAGGCGUAAUUCCAACCAUCGUAGUUGAGCCUCCUCGUGGAGUUGCAAGUGCAGUAAUUGAAUUCAAAUACAUCAAAACAAAUGUCUAAUUUGAAUCUUUAUGCAGUUGCAAUUGCAGUUUAGUUGCAACACAUGCAACCAAACAACCCUUAAAAUGUAACAAUCACAUGGGUGUCUAUGAUACCCCACUCUCUAGAGUGUCACUCAUUCUAGAACUACUCUAGUUUUAACAUGCCUAAUUACCUUCUUAAUCUCUUAAGCUUAACCACCACCCAAAACAUUAUAAUCAGGUUAAGAGAUUUAUUCUUACUAUAUCUCAUAUAUAGGACUAUUUCAAAUUCUAGAAAUAUCACAUUUCUCCCCUCUUUAUAUUCUGACAUCCUUGUCAUACUCAAGCACACUCGUAAGCAUCAGACAAUAUGAGAAUCGUCUCGCUAGCCUUAGUUAACCUUCUGGGGAGCCACGCUACACUCACAAUGGUCGUCAGCUAGAGAGUUGCGCUCUACUGUGAGACCCCAGAUAGUUCUAUAUAUGAGAUAUAAUAGAGCUAAACUCUUAACCCGGCUUAAACAUUUUGGGUGGUGGCUAGACCCAAGGGGUUAAGAGAGUUAAGCGUGCUAGGACGGGAGUAGUCCUAGGAUGGGUGACCCCCUGGGAAGUCGGGGCGUCACAGAUGGUAUCAGAGCCAAUUACCAGCUGGAAGUGUGAGAUGAGUCUCGGCUGAGUCAGGGUCUGGAUGACGGGCUAGCGAGACGAGUCUCACAUCCCCUGGUACUUGUGAGUCUGAGCCUGACGAGGACGUUAGGGCUUAAAGGAGGGGAGAUUGUGAGACCCCAGAUAGUCCUAUAUAUGAGAUAUAAUAGGGCUAAAUUCUUAACCCGGCUUAAGCAUUUUGGGUGAUGGUAAGACCCAAGAGGUUAAGAGAGUUAAGCGUGCUAGGACGGGAGUAGUCCUAGGAUGGGUGACCCCUGAGAAGUUGGGGCGUCUCAGAUUGUGAGACCCCAGAUAGUUCUAUAUAUGAGAUAUAAUAGGGCUAAACUCUUAACCCGGCUUAAGCAUUUUGGGUGGUGGCUAGACCCAAGAGGUUAAGAGAGUUAAGCGUGCUAGGAUGGGAGUAGUCCUAGGAUGGGUGACCCCCUGGGAAGUUGGGGCGUCACAUCUACCCAUUAUAUAACCCCAGCUUAGUCGAGACUGAUCUCACACGUACAAUUAGUGAUUGGCUCUGAUAACAAUUAUGAGUCCCCACUCCCCAGGAAGUCACCCAUCUCAGAACUACUUUAACUCUAAUUCACUUAAAUUUCUUAACCUCUUGGAUAUAGCCACCAUUCAAAAUGUUAUAUAGUCGAGUUAAAAGAGUAUAUAGGACUAUACCAAUUCUAGAAGUGUCACAUUGAAGUGGUGUCUCCAACCAAUCAAAUUGCUCUUAUAGAGUUCACUUAUACCAUCAUGGUUCAUAGAAAAGUAUUUUUAUUACACUUUUCUCUAUAAAAAAAAAAAAUGUGAUUGGUUGGACAUAAAUGAUGUAUUAUACGCGAAUGCCACAAAUUAAACUUUCUCAUAUUGAGAGACUCCUACAACUAUAUAUAGAAUAAUUUGCAAUAUACUUCUAAGAUUUUAUAUUUUAGAGAUAUAGAACUUAUUUCAAGUAUCACCCAUUUAGAUUCUGUUGCCUUAGUUUUUAAAAAAUUUGAUUUGAGUCCGUUAAUGACUUUUAAAUCAAAUUUUGAAUAUGUCGUUUACCAGCUAGUUCUAAAAACCCGGGAACUACUGUUCUCGGAUACCAAACGUUGCGUUUGGGAACAAAAGGAGGUACAAGAGCUUAUUCUCCUCCUUAUUCCCGAACCAAACGCUACCUAAAAGCCUAAUGUGAUUAGUUGAAGACACAAUGUCAGCCAU